UCCAAAAAAUCAACACAUCAAACUCUCCAAUAAGCAAGAUACCAAUUUCGUUAGUGUGAUUCUCGAACACCGUUCCAGUCACAUUAUUUCUCUCGAACCCUUUAGUCUAAUUGUCAAAAAACCCGAAAAUGAGUCUCAAAAACCCGAAUGAGUUGGGCGUUGAUUUGAAGUGAACCUCGUUGGUGAUGAUUCCUUGAGCUUUGCCGCAAACAGGGUUUGAAGGCUUUUGAUAGCUUUGCGGAGCCUUUUGCAUCUGGAGCUUGGAGUGCUUUAAGAAAUGCAUGGAGAGGGAGCACUGAUUUUGUUCAGCGGUUAACCUGGGACAGAUCCUUCAAAGGCACAAACCAUCAUGCUAACGUAAGAACUCCUUCCAUAUUCACCAGCAAAGCAACUUGUAAGUGCCAUUUCAAUACUCUAUAUGUUAGUGUCGCUAGAAUAAAAUUGUAUCAGUUAUGACAAGUACCUUGUAAAACAAAGCUCUUUCACAUUGUAAACCUGUAAUUUUCUUGACUUGGUAAUUUGAAACCAUGCAUUUAGUUUA